GUGCUAGCUUCGGUGGCACAUAUCCUAAGAUUGGAACGAUACAGAGAUUAGCACGGCUCCUGCGCCAGGAUGACACACAAAUUUGUGAAGUGUUCCUCUUUUUU
ensembl:snRNA LOC120103199 U6 spliceosomal RNA